rnacentral:rRNA from 1 species
CGCCUGUUUAUCAAAAACAUCUUUUCUCGUUAGUUUUUGAAGUAUGGCCUGCCCACUGACUUUGAUGUUGAAGGGCCGCGGUAUUUUGACCGUGCAAAGGUAGCAUAGUCAUUAGUUCUUUAAUUGUGAUCUGGUAUGAAUGGCUUGACGAGGCAUGGGCUGUCUUAAUUUUGAAUUGUUUAUUGAAUUUGGUCUUUGAGUUAAAAUUCUUAGAUGUUUUUAUGGGACGAGAAGACCCUAUAGAGUUUGACAUUUAUUAUGGUCUCUUUUCUGUUUGUGAGGGUUCACUGGGCCGUUUAAUAUGUUUUGUUGGGGUGAUGGGAGGGAUUAACUUAACCCCUCCUUUGUGUUGUUAUAUUUAUUUAUAUUUGUUUGAUCCAUUUAUUUUGAUUGUAAGAUUAAAUUACCUUAGGGAUAACAGCGUAA